ACACUUCAACCCUCCUCUUUCUUAAUGAUUGAAGAGGUGUUUGGAUUCUGAGCGCUGCUGGCCUUUAUUGGUCUUAGCUCGUUCGUAAUGCAUUAGCAUCCGCAAUCGAACUUUCGGAUUGACUUGGCGUAAUAGACUAUUCGCUGAGGAAUUCUAGUCUUCGGACUAGAGCCGGGUUGGAUUAAAGGAAGCUUCUAAUCAGAAUGUCUACAUUUUAAG
rnacentral:misc_RNA from 1 species